AGAUGUGAGGGCGAUCUGGCUGUGAUAUCUGUCACCCCAUUGAUUUGAUCGCCAGGGUUGAUUUAGCUGACCUGGCUCGCUAAGCAGGUGUCUCUCCCUCUUCCCUCACCACUCCAUGUGUGCCCCUCCCAAAGCUGUGUGCUUAGUUGAAAGGGAUGAUCUUCCCUGAUAGAGGAGUACUGUUCUUUGGUCAAGGAUAUAUGAGUAGCUACAUUCCCCUGCUAGAAUCCCCAAGACACUCUCAAAGUUACUGUGAAUUGCAUAAUAUGAUUUCAAAGAAAAGGAAACAUUUGGAAAAUGUCC
rnacentral:snRNA from 1 species